CCCUUAGAUGUUCUGGGCCGCACGCGUGCUACACUGAGCGGGCCAACGGGUGAGGAUGUGCGAGAGCGCUUCCCAAUCUCUAAAUCCGCUCGUGCUGGGGAUCGAGGCUUGCAAUUAUCCCUCUUGAACGAGGAAUACCUUGUAGGCGCAUGUCAUCAUCAUGCGCCGAAUACGUCCCUGCCCUUUGUACACACCGCCCGUCGCUCCUACCGAUUGAGUGAUCCGGUGAGGCUCUGGGACCUGGACGGAAAGAGCGUUUCGCUUGUUCUGUUUGGGAAACUUGGUCGAACCUUAUCAUUUAGAGGAAGGAGAAGUCGUAACA
rnacentral:rRNA from 1 species